rnacentral:rRNA from 1 species
GACGAACGCUGGCGGCGUGCUUAACACAUGCAAGUCGAACGGAAAGGCCCUGCUUUUGUGGGGUGCUCGAGUGGCGAACGGGUGAGUAACACGUGAGUAACCUGCCCUUGACUUUGGGAUAACUUCAGGAAACUGGGGCUAAUACCGGAUAGGAGCUCCUGCUGCAUGGUGGGGGUUGGAAAGUUUCGGCGGUUGGGGAUGGACUCGCGGCUUAUCAGCUUGUUGGUGGGUUGGUGGCUUACCAAGGCUUUGACGGGUAGCCGGCCUGAGAGGGUGACCGGCCACAUUGGGACUGAGAUACGGCCCAGACUCCUACGGGAGGCAGCAGUGGGGAAUAUUGCACAAUGGGCGGAAGCCUGAUGCAGCAACGCCGCGUGCGGGAUGACGGCCUUCGGGUUGUAAACCGCUUUCGCCUGUGACGAAGCGUGAGUGACGGUAAUGGGUAAAGAAGCACCGGCUAACUACGUG